UCGUCUUGAUUUUCAAAAUCAAUAUGUUUUAUACUUAUGUAAAUAUAACCUUCGCAAUCACAAUUUUUCGUAAUCUUGUAUUCUAUCAUUUUUGUCAUUGAACAUAUGUACAUACUUUUAAAGAGGCUGCAGCACAUAAGUACAUACAGCUGACCGCGAGCUCUGUUGUGCAUAUUUCGAGUAAUUUAAUUGUUGUCUAAACUACAAGAUCGGGAAAAUAUGCGUGUUUAGAAAACGGCUAAAUUUGGAGCGGAGCGUAAUCGAGAAUACAGAGCACGAAAAAAGGAUUGCAUCCUACGCAAUUUCAUUAAUUAUUGUUCAAGCUGACAUCCAUCACCAAGAGUCGUAGUUGCCCAACAUCUCGUGAAAAUACAGUACACGAACAAUUUAUUGAUUAUAGUGAUAAUGCAGCAAUAAAACACAAACCAAUAUACCAACACAGACCGUUGUCGGGAAUAUAGAAUGUGAAAUAAGGCUAAAAUGCGAUAUCAAAUUAUAACUGAAGCUUCAUCUUCAUACUUGGCUAGAUAUUGAGAUAUUAUUGUGCAUAAUUAAUCAUCCAAUCCAGAAAGCACAGCAAAAACACCUGAACAGAGAAGUCGAGAGUAUAUAGCAUGACGGAAAUAUUUGCAGAACGUGAUUGCAACAAUCAGUCCAAAGCAGGCGGUUUAUAAUGAAUGCGAUACUCCACAUUUUCAUACAAGUGCAACAAAUUUCACGGCACGUACAGUGAGUUUGACUGAUAUUAGCGAUACCCGAUAUUUUAAUGUAAAAUAUUAAAUGGAAAAGAAAUGGUCAUCGCAGCGAUCUACGUAUCUCCUAACCAAAAAAUGUUGAGGAUAUCAUGUAUUUCAUACAGAGUUUGUUGGUUAUGUACAUUCAUGGCGGUGCUGAUAUUCUUGGCGGGGGUGACGAUCACAUAUCGGUUUAGAUAUGAAUAGUGACCGGAAAAUUGCCACGACUAAAUCAAAAACAACGAUUGAUGCUCUAUUCUUCAGAAAUCUACACUAUUUAGACUGUUUCAUAUUUCAGUUACCAUAGAGCCAUAAUAUACGCUAUACCUAUACCUGACUGAAGAUAAUGUGAAAAUUGGAGAAAUAAAUUAUAUAUUAAAUUUGUAUAUUCACAUCUA